rnacentral:lncRNA from 1 species
CAGAGGGGUUAUUGAGUGAGAGGACACGAUGCAACAACUACAUAAUUAAAAUACAAAAUUUAAUUACAAUUAGAAUUUACUAAAAUAUUGCAAAAAGAAUAAUACAAGAACUAAAAUGUUGGAAACAAAAUAUUGGGAAGAAAAAUUUAAUUAAAAAUAGAAAUACUAAAUUCUUUUGGAAAAAAUUUCAAAGCUCACCUUCUACAACGCUACUCCUGCAGAUCGAGCGAGAGAGGGUGUGAGAAGGGGUGGCUGGUCGGAGACGAGAGGGCGUGAGGAUGGGCCUGGAGCGAGGGAGCAAGAGAGAGGCAAGGAAUGGAGAUGAGAAUGGGCCUGGAGCGAGGGAGCGAGAGAUAGGCGAGGAAUGGAGGUGAGCUUCAGGGAGGAGAGAGAGCAAAAAGUUGGGAGAUGGAGAGGAGAGAGAGAGGGGCAAAAAGUUUAGAUCGAGAAGAGGUUCUCCCUAAUUUUUCCCUAUACGGACGGUAAGGAAGAGGACGGCUCGCUCCGUUAACACUAAUUGUCUGCUUCAACCUUCCCCUUGUCUGCACGGAUCGCGAAGCAAUCCAAUGGCUAAAAAACUGGUAGCAACAAUGGAGUUUUGCUACUAAUAGCAGCCCAAUCCAACUCUAUAUAUAUAUAUAUAUAUAUAUAAUUAUGCUACUAUACUAUCAAUAGUAUCAAGCUUUUGGUACUAUUGAGUUUUCGGCCGUUGGAUGAAAGGAUGUGCGGUUAGGAUGAUAGUGGUCCCAUAGGGUUGAGUGGCUGGUUGGUUUAAUAGUAUAAUCUAACGGGUGAAAAUGAUCAAAGGGUAGAUUUUACGGUAGAAAACUCAAUAGUACCAAGGGCUUGGUACUAUCGAUCGUAUAGUAGCCGGACUAUGUAUAUAUAUAUGUAUAUAUAUACAUAUAUAUAUACAUAUAUAUAUACAUAUAUAUAUAUAUAUAUAUAUAUAUACAUAUAUAUACAUAUAUAUAUAUAUAUAUAUAUA